rnacentral:rRNA from 1 species
CCAGACUCCUACGGGAGGCAGCAGUGAGGAAUAUUGGUCAAUGGGCGGGAGCCUGAACCAGCCAAGUCGCGUGAGGGAAGACGGUCCUAUGGAUUGUAAACCUCUUUUGUCGGGGAGCAAAGAGGCCACGUGUGGUCAAAAGCGAGAGUACCCGAAGAAAAAGCAUCGGCUAACUCCGUGCCAGCAGCCGCGGUAAUACGGAGGAUGCGAGCGUUAUCCGGAUUUAUUGGGUUUAAAGGGUGCGUAGGCGGAAUGCCAAGUCAGCGGUAAAAUCGCGGGGCUCAACCUCGCUCCGCCGUUGAAACUGGCGUUCUUGAGUGGGCGAGAAGUAUGCGGAAUGCGUGGUGUAGCGGUGAAAUGCAUAGAUAUCACGCAGAACUCCGAUUGCGAAGGCAGCAUACCGGCGCGCAACUGACGCUCAUGCACGAAAGCGUGGGUAUCGAACAGGAUUAGAUACCCUCGUAAU